rnacentral:rRNA from 1 species
UACGGAGGGUGCAAGCGUUGCUCGGAAUUAUUGGGCGUAAAGCGCACGUAGGCGGCUUAGCAAGUCGGAUGUGAAAUCCCUCGGCUCAACCAAGGAAGUGCAUCCGAAACUGCUGAGCUUGAGUACGAAAGAGGAUCGCGGAAUUCCCGGUGUAGAGGUGAAAUGCGUAGAUAUCGGGAGGAACACCAGUGGCGAAGGCGGCGAUCUGGGUCGAUACUGACGCUGAGGUGCGAAAGCGUGGGGAUCGAAUAGG